GUUGUUGUGGUCCCCAUGGAGCUGCCGUAGCGGACCCAGCACAGCCAGGAGCGUCCGGGAUGAGCUCAGCCGCGGCCGACCACUGGGCGUGGUUGCUGGUGCUCAGCUUCGUGUUUGGAUGCAAUGUUCUUAGGAUCCUCCUCCCGUCCUUCUCAUCCUUCAUGUCCAGGGUGCUGCAGAAGGACGCGGAGCAGGAGUCACAGAUGAGAGCGGAGAUCCAGGACAUGAAGCAGGAGCUCUCCACAGUCAACAUGAUGGACGAGUUUGCCAGAUAUGCCAGGCUGGAAAGAAAGAUCAACAAGAUGACGGAUAAGCUCAAAACCCAUGGUACUGUGUCCCUUGCAGCCUGGAGGCUUCAUGAGAGCGGAUGAAUAGAGAAGUCUGUAUGUGAAGAUUAGUAGAAUACAUACUUUGCUUCUUGGAUGUUCUGAAUAUUGAUGGAAACUUAAGUUAUCUGGAGGAAACUCAGUAAUAAGUAUUACUUUCCUCUUAUUUGCUGGUGAACCUUUGCUUUCUAAGCACAGAAAUAUCUAAGAUCCUCUCAGAUUUUCCUCAGAGCCAACUCUUUAAAAUUUUAAGCUAACUCUUAAAAAUUGUAGGUUUUCAUUUUUAAAUUCAUCACUUUUCUGAGAGAAGCCCAGAAAAAAAGUCUCACAGUGGAUUCCCAGAGGCUUUUGUUCCACUCUCUAGAAAAAUGCCCAGCAGUGUCCUCUUCUGAGUGUCACCUCCCGGGUCCAGUGUCCUGUGAUGAAGAGCGCUUUCUCAGGGCAGCCCGUGUGCUGAGGGACCCCGGUCACAGUGUGUGCACAGUCAGAGAGCUGUCUCUGUGGCUAGGAAAACAGACAGAGGGGCCUGUCCAGGCCCAGGACAAGCUGGACUCCCACCAGGGGUUCGUGUACUGUGCACACUGGGAAAUAAGGAGGAAAAUUUAGUCCUGUUGUGAAAGCUCGGACAGCUCAAUUAGCCAAGAUAAAAUGGGUGAUAAGUGUCGCUUUCUACGUAUUGCAGGCUGCCCUGAUGAUCUCACUCAUUUGGAAGUAUUAUUCUGUCCCUGUGGCUGUCGUGCCGAGUAAAUGGAUAACCCCUCUAGACCGCCUGGUAGCCUUUCCUACUAGAGUAGCAGGUGGUGUUGGAAUUACCUGUUGGAUUUUAGUCUGUAACAAAGUUGUCGCUAUUGUGCUUCAUCCGUUCAGCUGAACAGGAGGAUGGAUACAGCCGCGAGGCUAAAAAACGGAUUUCCUCUUCCUAGCUUAAAAUCUGAUUUACACUGUUUUGUUUUUUAAGAAACAAAAGUGCAUAGUUUAGAUUUUUUUUUUGUUGAAUAUGUUUGUUCUUGGACUUUAUGAGAGAGUCUUAUAAGAAUCACGAUUUUCUACACCUGUCAUUGAGCCAAGAAAGUCCAGUUUAUGACACGUAUGUACUAGUGAACACCGUCCUCGAUCUGUACGAAAUGUGAAAUGUUUAGGGACAUCUCCAUGCUGUCACUUGUGAUUUGCCCUCUUAUGUAUUUUGGUCAUAUUGCCAACUGGAAAGUCAAAAUUUUCUAACAACUUUAAGUAAGUUCUUUGAAGACUUAGUGCUGUUUUUAAUCCAGUUUAGAAAGUAACUUAAUUUUAAUACCACUACUAAAAAUUCGAAAAUUUCUUCUUUAAUCACAUUCAAUAUGGUUAAAAGAACAACACUAAUUGACAUUGCGUGGGCUUUUUCUCCCUUUGUUUAAAAUGUCAUUUGUUGAGCAAGAGUUGUAUAGUAUUAUCUACUUACUUGAGGCUGUUAAUUUUUCAUUACAGUGUUUUGUAAAUGUAUCCACGAGACCAUGAUGCAUUGUUUUGUGCUCAACUUGUGUUUUGUAUUUAAAGCAUUUUGAAUGAAGUGUAUUUUAUAAGCAUUUAAUAUUUAUGCUCUUUAGAAUGGAACACAGAAAACAAACCUUAUAAGUCCUGAUUAAUCUGAACCAAUAACCUGUGUGGCCUACAAAGUAUAAUUCUAUUAAAUGUUCCUUAAAACACUUUUUUCUAAUUAAAAUCUUUGCAAAUGCUUGUGUAACUUCCUGCCUUACAGCUACUUGUUUGCUGUGAGCCACCCGCAACUGACAAGUGGCUGUUAACUGAGUCACCAUAUCCCAGUAAAGCUGAAUUUUCUCACUA